rnacentral:misc_RNA from 1 species
UCAAACUUGGUCAUUUAGAGGAAGUAAAAGUCGUAACAAGGUCUCCGUAGGUGAACCUGCGGAGGGAUCAUUACCGAGUGCGUGCCCCCCGGGGCCGACCUCCAACCCACUGUUAUCUGACCACGUUGCCUCGGGGGCGACCCGGCCGUUUGGCCCCGGGGCCCCCGGUGGAAACCCAUCAAACCCUGCAUCCAUGCGUCUGAGUAGAAUUUGAAUCAAUCAAAACUUUCAACAACGGAUCUCUUGGUUCUGGCAUCGAUGAAGAACGCAGC